CAUCGGGCAGGUAGAAUUCCUCUGUUUGUAAAUAUGUUCAUAGUUUGCUAUGUUUUUAUUUAUAAAUGGGUAUAGUUCUCUUUAUAGAUUAGAGUGUUCUGUUUAUAUGUGCAUAUAUUGAUAGAUCUGUAGAGUUAAAUGUGGAUAUAUAGUCAGAGAAGUGAUAUAUUUUAUUGUAAAUAUACAUUUAUAGUUUUUUAGAGUUAAAUUUUUAUUUGUAUAGUGUAAAAAAAUAUUUUAUAUAUAUGAAGUUAUAUUUCUAAAUGUGCGUAGUUAUUUAGACAGUGGAAUAUGAAUGUUUAGAUGAAUACAUUGAUGGAUAGGCUGCUCUUUGAGUAGGCCUAGGCUGCAUUUUUGCCUCUUUCCCCCCUCGGCUGUCUUUCUCACCUCUUGCUUUUCCCCCUGUGCCUCCUGUGUCCCCUCUCCCUGUGCUGGGUUCGAGCUGGCGGCCAGGCCGGGCGGAGCAGCACUUCCAGCCCCGGCUGUCCCUGGAGCGGUGAGAGCUGCGACUGGCCCCAGGCGCUGUCCCCUGAGGAGCUGCUGAAGGAUGCUGCAAGGAAUACUUUGAGGACAGCCAGGGAUUGACGGGAGUCAGCAGGGAGAAGCUGAUGGGCAGCAGCAGGAGCAGGGAACGGGGACCUGCUGCUGCCAGCCUGGAGAGAGCCCAGAUGUCCCAUCUGCUGUCCCUGUCCAGGAGAGCUGCUCUGCACGGGAGGAGGAGACUGAUGGAGAGGCUUUGAAGAUGGGGCCUCUGCUAGGAGUGCGGUUUAUUGAUGUCUGGACUUAGACAAUAGAAAGAGAUAGUUAUAUGGAUAUGUACAUGUCUAGGCUUCUAUCUGUAUAGGAAUAUUUCUUUAUACAUGUUGUUUUAUUUAUGGAUGCAUUACAUAUAUAUGAAUGCGUAUGUAUUCAAAUGUUUUUGUAAUUACAUAUAUGUGUAUAUAUGUAUCUAAGUAUAUAUGUUUGUGGUUAUAUCUGUGUUUAGUUCUAUUUCCUAGCUUAACAGCUGUGGAGGUAUCUGUUUUGAUGCAGUUAUGGGUAUAUGUCUAUUUAAAUAGGUAUAUUGGAAUUCAUUUUGGUCGCUAUGUCUCUUUUAAUAUUUUCUAAUGUAUAUUGAUCUAUUUAUGUCUAUUUAAUAUUUACAUAUGUGUCUUGAAGUAUAGCUGUAUAUUUGUAUUGAUACAGUUUGGUGGAUAUUUAGGAUGGUGAUAUUUGUAUAUGUAUAGAUAGGGUUUUUUUGUAUAUCUACUGAUAUAUAUUAUAUGUAAUAUGUUUAAUCUGUAUUUACCUCUCAAGAUUUUUAGACUUGUAUAUGUACGUAUAUCUUCAUUUAUGUAUAUUUUUAAUUCCAUUUAAUGUGUAUGAAGUGCUAUAGUUUGUAAUUCUAUAUAUUGUAUUCUUAGUGUAGGGCUGUUUAGAGAGGGAGUACUGGUUUUUGUAUUUCUGUAUGGGCUGUACGCUUGUAGUAAUAGGUAAUAAAUUAAGUCCUUAAACACCCAAUUGAUCUUAGUUGUUGUAGAGGUUGUUAAUAAAUAAGGUUUUUCUUAUCUGAAGUUGGUAUUUGUAUAUUUUUACAGAGACUGGUUGUAAUAAUCUAAUAAAUUCCUGGUUUUACCCUAAAUUGAGAUUGUAUAGUUCUGUAUUGU